UGGCCGACUUCACCACUCUGCCAGCUGACAUCCAAGCAGAGGAUGUUGCUGUGGUCAUCCCGGAUGUCACCCCACACGUAACCAAGGACGUGACACUGGAUGUUCCAUGUAGAGCUAGGAAAGGGGCAGUCCGGCGAUUAUUUUGCAGGCUUUGGAGGGCAGUGUGCUGCUGCGCCUGCUACAAGGAAGAGGAGGAACAAUAUUAAUUAUUCAUCAGACAUUCAGAAGUGGGAUUGAACCAUAGACCAUUAAAUUAUUCGCAUUAUAA